rnacentral:rRNA from 1 species
UACGUAGGUGGCAAGCGUUGUCCGGAUUUAUUGGGUUUAAAGGGUGCGUAGGCGGCCUUGUAAGUCAGUGCUGAAAUAUCCCGGCUUAACCGGGAGGGUGGCAUUGAUACUGCAGGGCUUGAGUAAAGUUGAGGUUGGCGGAAUUGACGGUGUAGCGGUGAAAUGCUUAGAUAUCGUCAAGAACACCUAUUGCGUAGGCAGCUAACUAAGCUUAACUGACGCUGAGGCACGAAAGUGUGGGGAUC